rnacentral:rRNA from 1 species
UACGUAGGGUGCAAGCGUUAAUCGGAAUUACUGGGCGUAAAGCGUGCGCAGGCGGUUGUGCAAGACAGAUGUGAAAUCCCCGGGCUCAACCUGGGAACUGCAUUUGUGACUGCACGGCUAGAGUGUGUCAGAGGGGGGUAGAAUUCCACGUGUAGCAGUGAAAUGCGUAGAGAUGUGGAGGAACACCGAUGGCGAAGGCAGCCCCCUGGGUCAAGAUUGACGCUCAUGCACGAAAGCGUGGGGAGCAAACAGG